UUGAAGUGACCACGAUCAAUGUCCAA
rnacentral:misc_RNA from 1 species